AUGGAGGAUCAAAAGAUCUCUUUAAUUGCCAUAAGCAAUCCCUAAGUCAAACAUCGAUCAUAGAAAAGUCAACUGAAAAUUCAAGUCAACUUAAAAAUUAACAAAUAAAUAGCAAAUUAAUCAAGAAAAUUAUGAAAAAUUAAACUAAAUGAGGUGGGGUCAGGACAUCAUCAUCCCCCAAAAUGAUUUCAAAAAUAAUGAAGAUUGGUAUGUGAAUUAAUUGAAAUAAGGCAGAAGUCAAACUA
rnacentral:lncRNA from 1 species